rnacentral:snRNA from 1 species
AUACUUACCUAUCACAGGGGAUACCGUGAUCACAAAGGCGGUUCCCUUAGGGCUAGGCCUGGCCCUGGGUUGAUCCCUGCAAUUAUCCCUCAUGUGAAUAACUCGUGUGCGCAAUUUUUGGUAGCCGUCAUGA